GACGAACGCUGGCGGCGUGCUUAACACAUGCAAGUCGAACGGAAAGGCCCUGCUUUUGUGGGGUGCUCGAGUGGCGAACGGGUGAGUAACACGUGAGUAACCUGCCCUUGACUUUGGGAUAACUUCAGGAAACUGGGGCUAAUACCGGAUAGGAGCUCCUGCUGCAUGGUGGGGGUUGGAAAGUUUCGGCGGUUGGGGAUGGACUCGCGGCUUAUCAGCUUGUUGGUGGGGUAGUGGCUUACCAAGGCUUUGACGGGUAGCCGGCCUGAGAGGGUGACCGGCCACAUUGGGACUGAGAUACGGCCCAGACUGCUACGGGAGGCAGCAGUGGAGAAUAUUGCACAAUGGGCGGAAGCCUGAUGCAGCAACGCCGCGUGCGGGAUGACGGCCUUCGGGUUGUAAACCGCUUUCGCCUGUGACGAAGCGUGAGUGACGGUAAUGGGUAAAGAAGCACCGGCUAACUACGUG
rnacentral:rRNA from 1 species